rnacentral:rRNA from 1 species
AUGAGGCGGACGAUGGAGGACGAGCGGUUCGCGGCGGCGCGGACUGACCCCAGGUUCCGAUCGAUGCCGCGGAAGGAGGCCAAGGUGGCUCUGGACUCCAGGUUCUAAAGCAUGCUGACGAACCCGAUCUUUGCUUCGUCGGAGGCGCCGGUGGACACGCGCGGCAGGCGCCGCAAGAAGUGCGCCCGGGAGAAACCCAUGUCGUAUUACUAUCUCAACCAAGACGGGAGUGAGAAGGAGGAGGAGAAGAAGAAGAAAGAGAAGCUCAUUCGUGAAGAGGAGGAUGAUGAGCCGGAAGAGGAUGAGCAAGAUGAUCAAGAAGAGAGUUCUAGUAGCGAUGACGACGCAGAGGAGGACGAGGACGAUGACCAGUACUCUGUCGGCAGUGGCAUUGCUCAUUACUUGAUGGCGAGGCAUGAUGAUACACCUAUGAUCGAUAAGGAAACACACAGGCUUGCUGUUGUUAAUAUGGACUGGGAUCAUAUUAAGGCAGUGGACUUGUAUAUGGGGAUGACAUCUUGCGUCCCGAAAGGUGGGCGAGUUCUAUCAGUUUCGAUAUAUCCAUCAGAAUUUGGACUGGAGUGCAUGAAUAUUGAGAGAACACAAGGCCCAUCUGCUCUUCUUGGUGCCGAUGAGGAUGAUGGUGGUGAUGGUGGGGAAAACGAUAACAACGAGGAUGAAGAUGACAACAAUGAUGAUGUUGAUGACGAAUACGAUAGUGAACAUGACUCUGAGACCGAGAACAGGCUGCGUGCUUAUGAGCUAAACAGACUGAGGUACUACUAUGCAGUUGUUGUGUGUGAUUCCAGUGCAACUGCGAAUCACCUAUACACAACUCUUGAUGGUACUGAGUUCUUGAAAACGGCAAAUGUGUACGAUUUGCAGUUUAUUCCUGACUCUAUGGAGUUCAAGCAUGCUGCUUGUGGUGUAGCUACAGAGGCACCUCCUACUUACAAGGAGCCUGAUUUUGAAACUCCUGCUUUGCAACCAAGCAAAGUUGAGCUCACCUGGGAUGACGAUGAACCAGAUCAUAAGAUCAUCUUGAGGUGGAAGUUCAAAGAGGAUCAGUUAGAUGGCCCUGGUAUAUACUCGUAUUUAGCAAGUGAUGACAGUGCAUCAGAUGAUGAUCUAGACGACUCUGGUGAUGAGUCUCUGCCAAAUGGUGUAGCGAAAAGAAAGUUAAUAAACAAGGAAAGGUUGGCUCUUUUACUACAAGGAGAUAAAUCUGACGAGGAACAAAGUGAUGACCAGGGCAUGGAGAUAACAUUCAACAUGGAACCCGAGGACCUCAGCAAGCGUAUCCUUGAGAGAAAGAGCACCGAGACGAAGACUGUCUGGGAGACGCACCAAGAAAAAACGAAGGAGAAGCGGAAAGCUAGGAAGAGGUCGUCAAAGGAUGAUGAUGACUACAGUGACGAAGAUAGCGCUGAUGAAAAUGAUGAUUUCUUUGAGGAUGAAAAGGCUGAUGAAGAAGUUAGGCCAAUCAAGAAACAGAAGGUGAAGACCAAAGGGAAAGCAAAGGACAAGCUUCCAGAGGAACAUUUUGAGCCAGAAGCAACUAAAGAAGAGUUGGAGCUCUUGGUUGCUGCUGACCAGGAUGCAGCCAAUGGUGCAAAGGGUUGUAACAUAGAACGCAGGAGUAAGAAGGGCAAGGAUUGUGUCGAGGACAAACUUCCUGAAAUCGAUAUUAGCACAGAUGACUCGAGGUUCUCAGCCACGUUGACGAAUCAUCUGUAUGCAUUGGAUCCUACUGAUCCCAAGUACAAGAGGAGUGCCACCUUCAUGAGAAAACAAGCUAGGAAGAAGGGUGCGCAUGCAGAUGCAGGAACAUUGGACAGUGAACCACCUGUGGAGGAAUCACCUCUGGGGAAUCUAGAUGAUGCAUCUUGUAAGAAGACACGGAAACACGAUGGGGCGCGCUCCACGGAGAAACUGCAGAUGCUGUCUACUGUCAAUUCUCUCAAAAGGAACCUUACCGGGUUCAAGAAAGCAAGCUAGAGUGAUCGAUAG